rnacentral:rRNA from 1 species
AGACAGAGGAGGCGAGCGUUGUUCGGAAUCACUGGGCUUAAAGCGGGUGUAGGCGGCCGCGCAAGUGCUCUGUGAAAGCCCCCGGCUCAACCGGGGAACCGCAGGGCAAACUGUGCGGCUUGAGCUCGGUAGAGGUGCCUGGAACUCUAGGUGGAGCGGUGAAAUGCGUAGAUAUCUAGAGGAACGCCGGUGGCGAAAGCGGGGCACUGGGCCGAUGCUGACGCUGAGACCCGAAAGCGUGGGGAGCAAACAGGAUUAGAAACCCCAGUAGUCC